rnacentral:rRNA from 1 species
GAUUAACGCUGGCGGCGUGCCUAACACAUGCAAGUCGAGCGGCAGCGAGUUUUACACUGAAUUCUGGAAGCUUCUAGUUGAAAGAGAAGAUUUAUUCAAGAAUUUUGUGUAAAAUGUCGGCGAGCGGCGGACGGCUGAGUAACGCGUGGGAACGUACCCCAAAGUGAGGGAUAACGCAUCGAAAGGUGUGCUAAUACCGCAUAUGGUCUUCGGAUUAAAGCCUUCGGGCGCUUUGGGAACGGCCUGCGUAAGAUUAGAUAGUUGGUGGGGUAAUGGCCUACCAAGUCGACGAUCUUUAACUGGUUUGAGAGGAUGAUCAGUCAGACUGGAACUGAGACACGGUCCAGACUCCUACGGGAGGCAGCAGUGAGGAAUCUUCCACAAUGGGCGAAAGCCUGAUGGAGCAACGCCGCGUGCAGGAUGAAGGCCUUCGGGUUGUAAACUGCUUUUAUAAGUGAGGAUUAUGACAGUAACUUAUGAAUAAGGAUCGGCUAACUACGUGCCAGCAGCCGCGGUCAUACGUANGAUCCGAGCGUUAUCCGGAGUGACUGGGCGUAAAGUUGCGUAAGUGGUUAAUAAGCGAAUAGUGAAAUCUGGUGGCUCAACCAUUCAGACUAUUAUUCGAACUGUUAAACUCGAGAGCAGAAGAGGUAGCUGGAAUUUCUAGUGUAGGAGUGAAAUCCGUAGAUAUUAGAAGGAACACCGAUGGCGUAGGCAGGCUACUGGGCUGUUUCUGACACUGAGGCACGAAAGCGUGGGGAGCGAACCGGAUUAGAUACCCGGGUAGUCCACGCCGUAAACGAUGGAUACUAGCUGUUUGGGGUAUCGACCCCCUGAGUAGCGAAGCUAACGCGUUAAGUAUCCCGCCUGUGGAGUACGAUCGCAAGAUUAAAACAUAAAGGAAUUGACGGGGACCCGCACAAGCGGUGGAUCAUGUUCUUUAAUUCGAUGAUAACCGAUAAACCUUACCAGGUCUUGACAUCCUUGGAAUCUUUCAGAAAUGAGAGAGUGCUUUUUAAGAGCCAAGCGACAGGUGAUGCAUGGCCGUCGUCAGCUCGUGUCGUGAGAUGUUUGGUUAAGUCCAUCAACGAGCGCAACCCUUGUCAGUAGUUGUAUUUUUCUACUGAGACUGCCCCGGUAACGGGGAGGAAGGAGGGGAUGACGUCAGGUCAGUAUUUCCCUUACGUCCUGGGCUAGAAACGUGAUACAAUGGCUAGUACAAUGCGCAGCGAAGCCGCGAGGUGAAGCAAAUCGCAUCAAAGCUAGUCCCAGUUCGGAUUGUAGGCUGAAACUCGCCUGCAUGAAGUCGGAAUCGCUAGUAAUCGCAGAUCAGCAUGCUGCGGUGAAUACGUUCCCGGGUCU